GCUGAGCGAGUCGGGCGGCGUUCCGGCCUCCCGGAGGGGCCGCCGGGUGAGCCCGACCCCGUUGGGUUGGCCGGCAUUCCCGUUGAGCUGGGCGGAGUUCCGGCCUCCCGGAGGGGCCGCCGGGUGAGCCCAGCUCGUUGGGUUGGCCAACCUUGACGUUGACUUGGGCAGAGCCCCCGUUCCGGUGUUCCGGAGGUGCCGCUGGAUAAACUCGGCUCGUUGGGUUGGCCAACCCAUUGGACGCUGACUUGCGGUAGAGGCCCAGAUGUUCCGGUGGGGUAAUCCGGUUGGAGAUGGGGCUGUUCCGGCGGCGCCGAGGGCGUAGUUUUCGUAGGGUAGAGUAGGAAGGGCGUAGAGUAGAGGGUGGAAGGAGGAGCCGAGUGGGAAUUCGGGAGUUUUCCAAGGGGGUGUUUUCCCCUCUGGGUCAAAAGGCAAAAGAUGGGAUCCUGCCAAGGGAAGACCCAACCGGGCUCCUGCUCCGGGCGGAUUCCGGGAGGAACCACGUCCGAGGUCGGAGCUCUUGGAGGUGCCACCAGCUCGUUGCCAAGCUCGGAGAGACCCCAAAACGUGGGAUGGAGUCGCCCCUGGAUCGCCCCAGAUUCCGCAUCCGGCCUUGGCCGACGCCCACUCGGAGCGUGAUGAUGUCAUCGAGGAUUUGGGGCAAAAAAACCCACCAGUUUGGGGGGAAAAAAAUCAAUUUGAGGGAAAAAUCCCUUGAUUUGGGAUAAGAACCCCAGUUUGGGGCGAAAUCCCCUGAUUUGGGGGUAAAAUCCCCCUGAUUUGGUGGGUUUCAGUUGAGGAAGAAGCCGGAUCGUCCCAACUCCGUCGUGUCCCAAAAAUUUGGGGAGUUUAUUUAUUGUAUUUAUUCAGCUGUUGGUUGGGAGAAUCCCAAGGGUUGGGGCAAUCCCAAGGUUGGGAUGAUCCCAAAAGUUGGGAUAAGGGCGGAUUUGUCCCAACCCGGCGGCUCCCCCUUGGAUCCAUGGGGCUGGAACGGCUCCUCCAGGAGCACCCAAAGGGAAUUCCCAGCUGGAAAAACGGGAAUCCUCGGGAUGAACCUCGGGAGGGGGAGCAGGACGUGAAUCCGGGGGGUUUUCCCGGGGGAUUUGGGGGUCGGAUCCGUCUCUUCCCAAGGGAAGCAGGAGCUGUGUUUGUUUUGUGAAUAAAAAUAGAUUUAGUGGGAAAAGCUGGAGUGUCCUCGGAGCUUUUCCCAAGAAACCA
rnacentral:lncRNA from 1 species